GAGACACUUCACCUAUGAAGAUAUGCAGACACAAGAUAUAAGCACAUGUAAGGAUUUUUUAACUUCAUUAGUGAUGGGAAAAUGCAAAUUAAGAUAAUGAUGUAACAUGACUAAUCCCCAAUCAGAAGGACCCAUAUAAAACUCAUUACCAAUACCAAGGGCCGGCGAGAAAAUAGAACAAAGGGAACUCACCCUCAGUGAACAGUGACAAUGUGAACAAGGAAUACCUGUCUUUCAGAGUUAGACAUGUACUUGCCAGAAGACCCGGUCAUCCCACCUUAGGUAUUUACCUUGGAGACUUUCAGCUCCUAUUCUCACAAAAGUCCGUGUGUGAAUGUUUGUAGCAGCACUAUGCAUAAGUACCCCAAUCUAGGAACCCAAAUGCUCUUCAUUGCACACUGAAUGGAUGAACACACCAGAGUGCAGCGCACUACUCAGCAAGUAAAAGGAACGAGGUACUGAGAGACACACCUCGGAUACAAACAGAGUCACUCUGCUGAGUAAAGAAAAAGCACUUACAAAAGGUUACACAGUUUGAGUUCAUUAUAAGACGGGAAGACAGCGCCGUGUUGGAAAAUGGAAUAGAGGUUGCCGCGUGCAGAUACGGAAGGGUGAGACGUUAGUGGCAGUAGGAGAGGGUGAGGAGUGAUGGAGCCGUCUGCAUCCUGAUGUGGCGACCGUUAUUCAAAUUUACAGUCUAAAACGUCUACAACAGUCCACCAAGAAGUCAGAUUUACUCAAAGCAAAUUUGAAAAAUCAAAAAUUUAAAACUACAUGUAGCAAAUUAUGGGAGUAAAAUAAUUUCACUUUGCCAAGAAAGAUGCCCCUGCCACAGUCCCGCCAUGGCUUUGUCUGUGCUCUCUCAGCCACUGGGUUCAGCUUUGCUCUUGGAAUGCACUCUUCUUCCUUCUGGGCUGUAUCUUUGGGGGAGCAGACUCCUAGCAUUAUUCUCCAACUGUGCUGGUUUGUGUUGUGAUAUAAUUUUAGAUUUUACAGACAUGAUUUUAGAUGCAGCCUUAGUUGACCUACACACCUUAUCAUCAUCUCUGGCAAAAAUUUUAAGGUUCUAAGAUUGACUUUGUUCUGCAGUGCCUUCAGCCUCUGUGUAAAAUGAGAUACAGGGGGUAAAGGGGAAAUUUUGGAACCCAGCUCUGCGCUGGAGGGAAGGAAGAGGUCAACUGCAAAGGGUCACUUAGAUGCAGAGCUAAU
rnacentral:lncRNA from 1 species